CACUCUCUAGCUAAUUACUUGGUUAAGUUUUAUUUUCACAACAAGAAUGAUGAUAGUCGAUGUUUUUGAAACCGCUGGAUGUCAAGAUGAAGAUGAAGAUUAUACAAUCGAGAAGGUUUAUUAUUGUAGCUAAAUCAAUUAUCGAAUCAAUGAUUUACCAGGUUAAAGAGAGAGGCAUGUGCCUUUCCUAACCUCCACUAUCCAUCCGGGUUCCAGCCAUUCGUAGUACUCGCUGGUGUUGUUUCCAAAAUAGAUUCUGUGCCAGGAGUGCUCAGGGUGGUCCAAUGCUUGCCCUACCGCACAUUGCUGUGUCUAGGGUAGCCUUCGAGAGUGAAUCUUUCAGAGGCUCUUGGUGUUCCAUGUUGAUUUAUGGUGAUGAAAGAAAAUCAACAUGCUUUGGGGUUGGUUUGAAGGUUAGAGGCCAGAGAGCUAUAGCAGCUAAUUAAACUGUCUGGUACUCUUUGUCUUGAUAUGUUUAAUCCUCCCUAUAUUUCUUCCGCAAAUGUCUAGUCUGCCUUAAAUGGGGUAAUCAUUGAUUCUCAAUUGAAGAUUUAGAAAUUGAUUGCAGUGUAUUGGCCUCCCUAAAAAAAUAAUAUAAGGAAGGCAUAAUUAUUAUUUUUUCUAGUAAAGAAUAUAAUAUUACGAGGAAAACACUUUAAUAAGGAAGGCAUAAUUGUUGAUAUCUUAAGAAUAUGUAUAUUUGUUACUCAAAGUUAUUUUUUUCGAGCUAAAAUUCAUUUUACCUGCUUGAACUUUACAGUUAAAAUUGUUUGUUCCACCGAACUUCUAAUUUGAUCCAAUGUGCCUUUACACUCUCCAAUAUGAUCGAUUAUAGCCUAUCCUUAACUAUUUCAUCAAUUUCUACAUAUAAUGUUAUGCACUUAAAAACUAACUUUUGGUCUUCAAUCAUGUAAGAAAACACUAUUUACAUGACUAAGGCUAAAAAUUGACCCUAAGUGAACUCACAUCGUCAACAAUUUAUGAAGAAUUUGAUGAAUUAGUUUACUAUCAAUCUGUCACACAAUCAAUUAUCGACUUAAUCUCAGUUUACAGUUUUUUCUAGUAAAAACAUUGGGUUCCUCGAGCACUGAUAUUCAAGUCAUUUGAUAAUAGUCAACCUAAUUGCUAAAGAAAGCAUUAUAUAAUCGGAUUCGGCUUCUCUGCUAGAAUUCAUUUUGCUAGGAUCUGCUUGGAUAACACUCUCAGCUCGCCACGUGUUACUGGUUCAAUCUAAGGGCUAUAAUGCUUACAACACAGAAAGCCUGAACUUGACUAACGAUCUCCAAAUAGGUCUUUAACGUCAGUGUUGAAUCGAACAAGAUCUCUACCCCUGGACUCCUCGCAUCUCCCUCUCUCUCUUCGCCCAAUUUCCUCCUUCCCCUCAUCAUCUAGUCGUGAACUGAAGCCGAGUCCGAUCUCUCGACUCCUCACUUAACUCUCAAGAUUUUCCAGAUGAUGGGGAAGACUCACACCGUGGUGAUGAAUGAUUUGACCUCAGAGUUCAAUUUCUUCUUCUUUUUGCCAUCUGUGGUGAAGCAUAUCACAGAAUCGUGUAGAUAUUAGGCUUUGUACAGCUUGCUGUCUUCUUCUGCAGUUUGGGAGUUUCAUCAGUUUGUGGAACUGUUUUUUCUGUUCAUCAGUUUGUGGAACAAAGAUGCUUGUUUGUGGAACUGUUAUUUAACUAUGUGCUUUUAUAGUUUAAGCAUUACCUAUUUGAUAAUGAACUGUACAAGUUUUAGUUUUCUGCAGAAAGUUGCAGAACUUGAGUAAUUUGACCAUCAGUUUGGACUGCAGCGCACGACGGAACUGAGGCACCAGUGGAGGGAACCAAAGCAGCUGCAAGAGUAGUUGCAGGAGCAGCAGGGUAUGCUGGUCAUGAGGCUGUGGAUAUUGUGUCCAAGCCUUUUGAGUGAUGCUAAAGAUGCUCCGCUGUGGUGACUGGUGAGAAAGCUGAGGAGUUCACUGCUCGGAAGAAGGUAUAGAGGCGAAGAGAGAAUAUGAGGCCAAGAAAGCAGCUGAAGCAAAUAGGCCCAAGGGUUCUGAGACUACUUAUCAAGGAGGAGAAUCCAAAUGCUGGGAGCAAGAGGAGACAUGGACGAAACCAGUUCAGAGGGAAUCUCAGCAUAUGCAGAGUGGCAGACCAACUGAAAAAACCAACCAGAAACUGCACAGUUAGAGAGGGAGCGCGAGAGGGCAGUACCUGGGUGCUGGGAACAAUCGGCAGGACUUGAGGUGUGAUACCGAGAGCUGUUAGUGAGACAGGAGAUUGAACGAGAUGUAUGAUAUAGGUUUGAAUCCUGACCACGCCUUGUACAUUGCUUUGAUUGAUGGAUUCUUGAAAGAAAAUAACGUGGAUAAGGCCCUCAGGAUCAAAGAAGAGAUGGUCGCUCGAGGAGUUAAGUUGUGUGGUGUCACAUAUAAUGUGAUUUUUGCAGGGAUCUGUAAAAUAGGUAAGAUGGAGAAGGCAGAAUCUCUUUUGAAUGAGAUGAAUGCUAUGGGAAUUGAACCUAAUACCCAGACAUAUAACUAUUCAAUUGAUGGGUACUGUCGGGAGCAAAAUGUAAACAAGGUUUAUGCAUUACUUAAUGAGAUGAAGCAAAGGUUGUAAGUUAUGGAGUGAGGAGUCUAUUAAUAACAUCAUCUUGUAGUUUCUAUGUAUGAAAAGGUUGUGCAGGACUCCAAUUUGGAGUGAAUUAAUAUGAAAAGUUUCUAUGUAUGAAGAAUUUCUGCAGAGUAUAUGAGAAUUUCAUUUUUUAUCUUAA